rnacentral:rRNA from 1 species
ACGAACGUUAGCGGCGCGCCUAACACAUGCAAGUCGAGCGAGAAAGGGCUUCGGCCCCGGUACAGCGGCGCACGGGUGAGUAACACGUAGGUAAUCUACCCCUGAAUGGUGGAUAACCCUCCGAAAGGAGGGCUAAUACAGCAUAAGACCACGGCUUCUUCGGAGGCUGAGGCCAAAGCGGGCCACUUUACAAAAGCUCGCGUUUGGGGAUGAGCCUGCGGCCCAUCAGCUAGUGGGUGUGUGUACUGUGGGUGUAACGGACCACCAAGGCUAAGACGGGUAGCUGGUCUGAGAGGAUGAACAGCCACACUGGAACUGAGACACGGUCCAGACUCCUACGGGAGGCAGCAGUGGGGAGUCUUGCGCAAUGGGCGAAAGCCUGACGCAGCGACGCCGCGUGAGUGAUGAAGGCCUUCGGGUUGUAAAGCUCUGUGGGGAGAGAGACGAAUAAGGGCCGGCUAAUACCCGGCUCGAUGACGGUAUCUCCUUAGCAAGCACCGGCUAACUCUGUGCCAGCAGCCGCGGUAAGACAGAGGGUGCAAACGUUGUUCGGAAUUACUGGGCGUAAAGCGCGUGUAGGCGGCAGGGCAUGUCGGAUGUGAAAUCCCGUGGCUCAACCACGGAAGUGCACCCGAAACUGCCCAGCUCGAGUCUCGGAGAGGAAGGCGGAAUGCUUGGUGCAGAGGUGAAAUUCGUAGAUAUCAAGCGGAACACCGGUGGCGAAGGCGGCCCUUCUGGACGAUGACUGACGCUGAGACGCGAAAGCGUGGGGAGGCAAACAGGAUUAGAUACCCUGGUAGUCCACGCCGUAAACGAUGAGUGCUAGGUGUCACGGGCUUUGACCCCUGUGGUGCCGUAGCUAACGCAAGUAAGCACUCCGCCUGGGGAGUACGGCCGCAAGGCUAAAACUCAAAGGAAUUGACGGGGGCCCGCACAAGCGGGUGGGGAGCAUGUGGUUUAAUUCGACGCAACGCGCAGAACCUUACCUGGGCUAGAAAAUGCAGGAACUCGGUCGAAAGGUCGAGGGUGCCCUUCGGGGAACCUGUAGUUAGGUGUUGCAUGGCUGUCGUCAGGCUCGUGUCGUGAGAUGUUGGGUUAAGUCCCGCAACGAGGCGCAACCCCUGCCGUUAGUUGCCAGCAUUCAGUUGGGGCAACUCUAAUGGGACUGCCGACCUUCAAGUCGGAGGAAGGUGGGGGAUGACGUCAAGUCCUCAUGGCCCCUACGUCCAGGGCUACACACGUGCUACAAUGGCCGGUUACAAAGGGCAGGCAAACUCGCGAGAGCCAGCCAAUCCCAAAAAAACCGGCCCUCAGUACAGAUAAGAGUCUGCAACUCGACUCUUUGAAGGCGGAAUCGCUAGUAAUCCCUGAUCAGCAUAGCAGGGGGUGAAUACGUUCCCGGGCCUUGUACACACCGCCCCGUCACACCAUGGGAGUCGAUUGCUCCAGAAGUGGCUGCGCCAACCCGCAAGGGAGGUAGGCCCCCAAGGAGUGAUCGGUGACUGGGGUG